AAAAGAUAAAAACCAAAAAAAAAAUCCCCUUUGAUUCAAACCAAACGAUCCAACCAUGGAGGUGACAGCACUAAAAUUACCAACUCACGAACAUCCUUUGUACCCUUCAACUCGAUUUCUUAUUGUUAGUUGCGAAGGUUGUUGUGUAAGAGGUCGGAUCUACGGAGGCUACCGUUGCAAUGAAUCUGAUUGUUACAAUAAGGGCGACGAUGGUGUUUGGUUCCAUAAGGAGUGUGGCGAGUCACCAUCAGAAAUCAACCAUCCUUCUCACCCUGAACAUCCUCUUACUUUCUCCACGGAGAUAGAUUUGGAAGACUGUCGUUUGUGUGGAGGUUUAACCACCAGUGGUUAUUGCUGUGCGAUAUGCGACUUUGUCAUAGAUCUGGCUUGUGUACAAAAACCACUGCCGCCUCUAGCGAUUGAGCAUCCGAUGUUCCAUGAGCAUUCACUUGUCCGCACAAAUAAGUAUGCCUUUUGUAAAAUAUGCAAGAAUAAUAUUGAAGAAGGAUAUGCCUAUGAAUGUCUUACUUGCGGACAUGUUAAUUUUCAUUUGGACUGCGUCAAUCAGUCAAGAGAGGUAAACCAUUCGUCUCAUUCUAAUCAUAUUCUUGAGUUCUUCAAAUCUAAAUCACUCCCAGAAAACGCUGAGAAGACAUGUAUUCUGUGUGGAAUAGAAUCGCAACAUGUGCUUUAUCAUUGUUCCAAAUGCAACUUUAGCAUAUGUAUUUACUGCAAGAGGAAUCCUCCACCACUCACUGUCCAACAUACCAAGACCCACAAGCAUACGCUCUCCCUCUUGGCAAGACGAGUCUCGUUUACUUGUAAUGUCUGUGGGAUGCAAGGAGAUCGAAGUCCUUAUUCAUGUAUUCAGUGCAGUUUCUUAGUUCAUCGCGACUGCAUCGACUUGCCUCGCGUCAUAAACAUUAAUCGCCACGAUCACCGCAUCUCUCUCACUGAUCAUAUUGGGCGCCGGGGGAAUCUGAAAUGUGGAGUCUGUCACCAAAGUGUUAAUCAGUACUGCGGAGGUUAUACUUGCUCUAUCUGCCCCAAUUUUGUUGUUCAUUCGUCAUGCCCAACAACAAAAAGAGUGUGGGAUGGAGUCGAGCUCGAAGGGAUCCCCGCAGAAGUUGUUAUUCCUCCGUUCGAGGUGGUGGGUGUUAACUUGAUAAAACAUUUCAGCCACAAAAAGCAUAUUCUUCGACUAGAGAGUGAUGGUACAACUCGUGAUGAAAAAACAAGAUGUGAAGCAUGCGUCUCUCCCGUCUAUUCUGAUCCGAUAUACCGCUGUGAGCAGUGUGAUUUCAUCCUCCACGAGACGUGCGCGAAUCUUCCAAUGAAAAAACGACUUCCGUUUCACAACAUGCAGUUUAAACUAUAUGCUCCCGACAUGGAUUCCUACAAAGCUUUUAAGUGUUACGCCUGUAAAACAAUGUUUAGCGGUUUCAGUUCUACAGAACUGUUUCGGAGCUGUGGUGCAUGCCAAAGGGGAAGGAUGCUACCAACGAAGCUCGCUUGUGGUGAUUGUGAUGACUUCGCGUUAGAUUUCCGAUGCUUUAAUUUGCCAAGGGUGGUGAAGCAUAAAGAGGAUGAGCCUCCUCUUUCCUUAUGUUAUGGCGAAGAUCCAAAUGGUAAAUACUGGUGUGAUAUUUGUGAGGGUGAAACAAAUCCGAAAGACUGGUUCUAUACUUGCCCUGAUUCUGGGUUCACAUUGCAUGUCCAGUGUGUUCUUGGAGAUUUCUCUUUUCUCAUGCCAAGACGCAUAACAGAAUACCCUAAGUACCGCUGCAAAUUUGAAGUGGUUCCUAACAACCACUGUUCUCGACCGUUCUGUGCCGGUUGUCAGUCUCGAUGUAUAGGCCCUUUCUUUCUGAAGAUUUAUAAUCCGAAAAUCAUAUACAUCUGUUCUAAAGGGUGUUUUCGAACUUUUACAGAAUUUUGGGAAAAAGGGUUGUCUGAGACCGUUUUUAGCGGUGGCAGGACCCUUCACGUGUGAGAGAGCAAAAUUCACGUUAUGAACACUACGUCUACUAUUUAUAUGAUAUGGUGAAAUGUGUUCGUCUUAAAGGCUAUGUUUAACGCAGUCACAUGAUCAGUGGGAUCUGCAUCACCGGAGUAGGAUGGGAUACAGAGCUUGUCCAUUGAGCUGAUGUUAAUGUCAAUAAUCCUCUUCAAAAAGGAUAUCCUUAGCGUCGCGACAAGGACGCGCCUCAUCUGCGGGGCUGAACUCCUCACGUGUUGAAUUUUGGAGUUUACGUCUUGCAUUAAGAGCUGGAGGUUGGCGAUUUGGCAGCUUGGCGUCGAACCGUCGGAGGUGGUGAAAAGUUGUCUCUAAGUUGUUGCUGUACCGAGAUCAUCACCAGCUGGUGGCGUGAAGACAAUCACGGCAAAACGCUUGUUCUGUCGCCUUGCGAGCUUCCUCCCACUGAGCGAGGCGUUCCAUGAUUAUUUGCAUCACCUAUGUCAUGGCCGGGACGGAGUCCUUGUAUUGUAUUCAAUGAAGGGUUCUCCAACAAUGCCAAUGAAAAAUAAAAGCAUUUUCGAGUAUUUCCGGUGACAGUUGAGAAGUUUGUAUGCAUAUCACCAUAAAGAUCGUUGGAGCUCUUUCAUUCUUGCAUUCAGAUUUUGAUUUUUUUAAGAUCAUACUCAACUGACAACCCAAAUUUUAGGUUCUAGGUGCUCUGCAACAUAUUUAGAAGCAGAAUAUUUCAAGAAGUCAUUUUACCUAUGAAAACGAUGUUGUUGGGACUUAAA